ACCCUCAGUUGUCCGCC
rnacentral:misc_RNA from 1 species